UCUUUCUGCCCCUCUUCGCCCUUCCUCGCAGUAUUUCCCGCCUCCCCCCACCACCCCCCACCCCCGAAUUUCCUUAAUAAAAAGUGGCUGGCAAAGCAGAAACAAACGCACGGUGGGGAAAGAUCUUGCGUUGUCGGGGAAGGAUACGGAUGGAGUGUAAUGGUUCUUUCUCUACAGCCAUGAAAGAGGCUGACACCUGCACACACAGGAACGACUUAAAAUAGAACUUGUCAAACAGUGAUCCGCUCUGGAUGGAGCUCCCAACAACAAACAGCUCUUGAACUCGCCCACCAGCCUAAAAAGGCUGCACUGUGUGACACUAAGGGUAGUUUGCUGCGAACUACAAACCCCACAUUUUAAAAAUCCCUUGCAGUCUUCAGAGAGAGACAGAGCAUGAGCAGGAGAGGGGCAGAGAGAGAGGGAGACACACAAUCCGAACCAGGCUCCAGGCUCUGAGCUGUCAGCACAGAGCCCGAUGCGGGUCUCGAACUCCUGGAAUGUGAGAUCAUGACCUGAGCCGAAGUCGGGCGCUCAACCGACCGAGCCACCCCAGCUCUCAACAUUUAUGCUCCUAGGAAGCAGAGAUACUUACGGAAUGAAAAUAAGGACAAAUAAGACUUUCUCCAAAUAUCCUGGGAUGAAGGACACUGAAGGGAAAUUGUCAGAUGAGGUUCUGCUGCAGUAGUGGACCCUUCAUCCUACAUGACUGGUGUCCUUCCAAGAAGGGGAGAGAGAUCCAUGGGAGAAGGCAGCUCCGUGAAGACAGAGGCAGAGCUUGAAGCAGCUGCAAGCCAAAAGACCCCAAGAGUGAAUCUCUAAGAGUUUCAGAAGGAGCACGGCUCUGCUGACACCUUGAUUUUGCACUUCCAAACUUCUGAACUGUCAGCUGGAGGUUGGGCUUGGCUGGAGUGGCUCUGCUUCAAGUGUCUUUCAUGCUCCUUAUACCAGCAGGACAGCUUCGGAGCAUAUUUUUCACAUAUCAGUGGAAGAGCUACGAGAAGGCAAGUGGAAAGCUCGCUUUUGGUACCUAGCCGCCAUACCAUGAGGAAGCCUAAGUCGACUGCAGGAUGACCCACACUGACAGGUCCAUAGCCCUGAUGAGCCCUUGGGUGGUGGCAAGCACCAAUUUGCCGUCUUGAAAUCAGGUCCUGCGGAUCCUAGUCAAGCAGCCCCAAGUGAUGCUGUGAGGAAGAACCCACAGAGAAGUAUAGCAAUAAUUUGUGGAUGGGGCUUUAAAGCAGUCGCCUUUUGCAGGACACCUGCUUCUUUAAGAUAGUUGUAAGAAGACUACAGGCUACGUUUUCACCUCUGAAGUCAUGAAAAUAUGGUAGUAAUUAUCCAAGAUUUUUAACCAUAGUGCAAGAUAUCAAGAAGUUUGAAAUAAAGAAGAGAACGAGGUAACUUUUUGAUCUUUGGGUAAUCAGGAAACGACAAGAGUUUCUGAACCAAACUAUAUUAAUCUCUUAAGUUUUCUGCUUUAUUUGAAAAUUAGGCCACUGCUUCUUUGGCUCCCUGACUUCCCAGAGCACCCUCAUCCUGAGUGUUUUCCUCCAGUAAACACUGGGCUCACCUAUUGGUUUAUUUUUAUCAUUUAAAAAAUCAAACUGCAAUCACGAGUCACGUGUUUGGCAGCCUUCUGUCUUAAAGAAGCAGC